rnacentral:misc_RNA from 1 species
CCAAUAGCGUAUAUUAAAGUUGUUGCAGUUAAAAAGCUCGUAGUUGAAUUUCGGGAUUGACACAUCGGUCGUGCCUUAAGGGGUAUGAACUGGUGUAGUCAAUUUCUCACCUUCUGGAGAACCGCGAUGCCCUUAAUUGGGUGCCGCGGGGAACCAGGACCUUUACUUUGAAAAAAUUAGAGUGUUUAAAGCAGGCAUUUUGCUUGAAUACAUUAGCAUGGAAUAAUAAAAUAGGACGGCAUGAUUCUAUUUUGUUGGUUUCUAGGAUCACCGUAAUGAUUAAUAGGGAUAGUUGGGGGCAUUAGUAUUCAAUUGUCAGAGGUGAAAUUCUUGGAUUUAUUGAAGACUAACUACUGCGAAAGCAUUUGCCAAGGAUGUUUUCAUUAAUCAAGAACGAAAGUUAGGGGAUCGAAGACGAUCAGAUACCGUCGUAGUCUUAACCAUAAACUAUGCCGACUAGGAAUCAGACGAUGUUAAUUUUUUAAUGACUCGUUUGGCACCUUACGGGAAACCAAAGUGUUUGGGUC